rnacentral:rRNA from 1 species
AACGAACGCUGGCGGCAGGCCUAACACAUGCAAGUCGAGCGGACCUUUCGGGGUCAGCGGCGGACGGGUGAGUAACGCGUGGGAAUAUGCCCUUCUCUACGGAAUAGUCCUGGGAAACUGGGGGUAAUACCGUAUACGCCCUUUGGGGGAAAGAUUUAUCGGGGAAGGAUUAGCCCGCGUUGGAUUAGGUAGUUGGUGGGGUAAUGGCCUACCAAGCCGACGAUCCAUAGCUGGUUUGAGAGGAUGAUCAGCCACACUGGGACUGAGACACGGCCCAGACUCCUACGGGAGGCAGCAGUGAGGAAUCUUAGACAAUGGGGGCAACCCUGAUCUAGCCAUGCCGCGUGAGUGAUGAAGGCCUUAGGGUUGUAAAGCUCUUUCAGCUGGGAAGAUAAUGACGGUACCAGCAGAAGAAGCCCCGGCUAACUCCGUG